rnacentral:rRNA from 1 species
UGGGGAAUUUUCCGCAAUGGGCGAAAGCCUGACGGAGCGAUACCGCGUGUCGGAAGAAGGCCUUAGGGUUGUAAACGACUGUCGGAGGGGAAGAUAAUGACGGUACCCUCAAAGGAAGCACCGGCUAACUCUGUGCCAGCAGCCGCGGUAAGACAGAGGGUGCAAGCGUUGUCCGGAAUUACUGGGCGUAAAACGUCUGUAGGCGGUCCAUUAAGUCUGAAGUUAAAUCGCUGAGCUCAACUUAGCUUCGCUUCGGAUACUGAUGAACUAGAGUAUGUUAGGGGUUAUUGGAAUUCCCGGUGUAGUGGUGAAAUACGUAGAUAUCGGGAGGAACUCCAGUGGCGAAAGCGAAUAACUGGGGCAUAACUGACGCUGAGAGACGAAAGCGUGGGGAGCAAAA